rnacentral:rRNA from 1 species
UACGUAGGGUGCGAGCGUUAAUCGGAAUUACUGGGCGUAAAGCGUGCGCAGGCGGUUUUGUAAGCCAGAUGUGAAAGCCCCGGGCUCAACCUGGGAAUGGCAUUUGGGACUGCAAGGCUUGAGUGCGGCAGAGGAGACUGGAAUUCCUGGUGUAGCAGUGAAAUGCGUAGAUAUCAGGAGGAAUACCGAUGGCGAAGGGCAGGUCUCUGGGCUGACACGUGACGCUCAUGCAC